rnacentral:rRNA from 1 species
UACGGAGGGGGCUAGCGUUGUUCGGAAUUACUGGGCGUAAAGCGCUCGUAGGCGGCUUUGUAAGUCAGAGGUGAAAGCCCAGGGCUCAACCCUGGAAUUGCCUUUAAGACUGCAUCGCUUGAACAUCGGAGAGGUAAGUGGAAUUCCGAGUGUAGAGGUGAAAUUCGUAGAUAUUCGGAAGAACACCAGUGGCGAAGGCGACUUACUGGACGAUUGUUGACGCUGAGGUGCGAAAGCGUGGGGAGCAAACAGG